CAGAGCUUAGCUGAUUGGUGAACAGUGAUUGAUUUCCUCUUUGUUCACAGUGGCUAAGUUCUGCACCUGA
ensembl:miRNA